rnacentral:tRNA from 1 species
UUGGUAGCUCAGUGGUAGAGUGCAUGCUUUGUGUGUAUGACGUCCUGGGUUCAGAUCCCGGCUUUAAA